ensembl:lncRNA novel transcript
ACACUUGUUUGUGUUUUGGGGAGAGAAAGGAAGUGGAGAACGUUCUUGCAAGAUGAUCUGUAUUUUCUCUCUAAAGCAGAGUUCAUUUGCUGAGAAUGAUGGAGAAAAUCAGCAUCUAGCUAAUCAGCUGACCAUGAGAUGCAGAGAUUAUCUGGAAUUAUCCAGAUUGGUCCAUUUAAUUACAUGAGUCCUUAAAAGUGGAAAGUGGAAGAAGAGGCAGAAGAGUGUGUCAGAGAGAUGCUGUGUGAAAAGGACUCAACCUGCCACUUGAGGCUUUGAGGCUGGAGAAAGGGGCCAUGAACCAAGGAUUGUGAGCAGCCUGUAAAAUCUGGAAAAGACAAGGCAAUACCCUUUGCUGUCUCAGGGUCAAACAUGCAACUCCUGCCUGCUUGUAUGGCCAGCUGGGUUCAAGAAGGAAGGAACCUCAUUGUUGACAGUUACCAGAUGAAUGUGCCCCUUCUGUACAGCUAAGAAAUGGAAUAGACAUUGGUUCUCCUUACCAAUACUGACACACUCCAUAGUAUGGUUGUUGGCUUCCAACCCUUCUGGGCAAUUGUCAAGGCACUUUCCAAGGUGUAAGUAAAAUCCACUUUUACAUUUUGUGCAGAAAUUUUUGUUGAAACAGGUAUCACAGUCAGCUUUGCAUUCUGAAAGAGAAAAAAGAAAGAAAUAUGCUUGCAUUAUGUUCUCUUAACUAUUGGUCCAGUUCUACAUGUGUCAGACACAGCCACACACAACUUUAGUAUCAAAUAAACACCUGAAGUCCAAAAUUAUUUUGCCAGACUGAAUUCACGAUUCCUCCACAGUGAUUUAGUUGAGGUACAUUGGUUAUUGAUUUUAAAAUCAUUGUACUGAUUGCCCUAUGAAAAAAUCUUUGUGUGUGUGUAUAUAUAUAUAUAUAUAUAUCUCCAAGAAUAUUUAUAAGAUGAAGUAUCUGUUUAUAUUAAGUGAUAGUGAAAAUGUUUCAUCAGAACCUUAAGAAAACAUACAAAGGAUAUUAUCUUUGUGUUGUUCUUGAGGGCUAUUGAUUCUUACAACAAAUAUUUGAUUGCCUACUAUGUGCCAGGCAUUGUUUUUUAUAUUGGUUGACAGCAAUGCACAAGAGGGGUAAGAGUCAGGCUUCAGAAAGUUUACAUCCUAGGAGAGGAGAUACAGUAAACAAUAACAAUAGUUCACCCUUAUGUGGUGAUUACUGUAAGCCAGGAUUGCUAUAAUGCUUUACAAUAUUAUUAAGUUAUUUAAAGUUUACAACAAUCCAAUGAGGUAGUCAUUGGUAUAAUUUCAUUUUACAUAUAAGGAAACUGAGGCUCACAAAAGUUAUAAAACUAACCCAGGACAACAGAUCAGACUGCUUUUUGAAACCAGGCAGUCUAGUUCCAGAGUGAUAAGUGCUCUGGAAAACAAAACAAAAAAACAACAGCAAAUGGUGGGAAAAAGAGAUGGAGGGUGGUUGACAAGGGGAACAGGCUGAUUAUUUUGGAUAGGAUGAUCAUGGAAUGUCUCUCUGAGAAGGUGACAUAUGAGCAAAAUCAUCAAUGAUAUAAGACAGCCAGCUAUGCAAAGAUGUGGACAAAAAGCUUUCCAACUGCUAGAACAGCCAGUGUAGAACACAAUUGCAAAGGCUUGAGGUGGGAAGAUCUUAUGAGAAGGGAAGUGAGGCUGGUGCAAAAUGGGUGAGGGGGAGUUGUAGGAGAUGAGUUUGGAGGAACUACAUAUGGUAUUUGAAUAGAGUGGUAUUUCCUAAUUUACAUUUUUGAGAAAGGUCCCUGGGUCUGCAGUGUGAAAAACAGGUUUUCAGGUUCCAGAUGACAGUACUCCCAAUAUUUAUUUCCAAUUGAUAAAUAAAUGUUUCAGUUGCUCUGGAAUCUCUCUUGAAGUCAAAAUAGCUGAAAUGAUUUGGCAAGUUAGUCAAUACUUGGAUUUUGUGUUGAUAAUGGAAACUCAGAUGGAAUUGAGGCUUGCAGUACUUUUCUAUAGGUUCAAUGAGCAAUAAUCAUAUUCCCAGCCUUUGCUUUCAUAAUUAAAAAGAAAACCAAAACAUGAGUGCUUUUUUGUAAGUUAGUGAUAAAAAUUUUCUGGUUCUGAGGGUUAAGUCCAAGUAUGGUUUAGCCUAAUUAUCAGAUAAACAUUAUCAUUUACUUAACAUUGAAUAUCACAAAUAUAUUAGAGGCCAUUUCAAUCUGGAAAAGUCACCAAAGAUGAGAUAAAAAUACAAUUUCGUGUGGGCACUUACUUGUACACUUAUUUAUAUCUGGAUAUCGAGUUCCAUAAUAUCCACUUGGACAUGAAGAGAGACAUACUCCAAUCUGCUUCAUGCCAAUUCUUUCCAGAGCAAAAAAUAGUCUGGGCUUACAUGACAAACAUCCAUUGUAAUCUGAGCAUGUUGCACAGCCUCCUUGGCAGCCUUGACUAACGUUAGGAUGCACUGUGGAGACAAAUGUAGAAAGACAUUACAAAGGUUAAAUCACAGAUAAAAAAAUGACAUUUUCUGGGCAGGAUAUAUGUUCUCUUUCAUUAGCUUUCAAUUUGUUGGUAAUGGGUGAAUGAGGUGGGAUUUUUUUUCCUAUCUUUUUUUAUGAUCUUUUAUUUCCCUUUAGCACAUGUAUUGUUUUUAAUUUCAAAGUUCUUAAAAUUGAGCAUUUGAAAAAUAAAGAAUAUACUG